UCCUGUCCCCCGACACAUCCCAGGGAGCUUCUCUGCACAGUUUCGUGCUACUCUGGUGUGGCUUUUCCCAUGUUCUGCUAAGCCACGUGAUUCAUCUGCUAAUGGCUUUAGUGCAUUCCAGGCACUGUGGUCUAACUGUAGCUUAGGGUUUAAUGUGCUGUUCGAAACCAGCCUGCUAGGACCUGUUCAGAUCAUAGUUAAGCAAACCCUGGCUUAAUGCGAUGAGUGAACCUCCCCCCAGUUGGGCCCUGGUUCUUCUGGAUUGACAGGGUCUUGUCUUCCGAACGGCCUCCUCUGAAAUUGGGACUAGCACAAAGCAGGACCGUUCUGGUCUUCAGGGCUGACCAGGUAAAGGGCCGCCCCUGGAUAUCUUCUUCCAAGUGUAGAUUGCUUGCCAACAGACCCGUACGUUGUCCAGUAUUUAAAAAUAUUUACUUUACAGAGGAAUAGGUUUCCUGUGAAUUUUAGUUCACAGGCAGGUAGUAAAGCAGCUGUCUUGCUUUAUGCUAGUCCAGCCUGGCAGGAAAACAGAUGGUACUCUUCAGAUCAAGAACCUUGAGAUUAGAGUCGUGCAUCUCAUGAAACCAUGAUAACCAUGGUUUGCAAAAAAUAAACCACAGCUCACUGGGCUUGUGUAACAUGUUGAACUGAAACAGUGGUUUACAAGCCACUGGCUGGAUUUGCAUAUAUACUAAGGCAAAACUGGGCAACUCAAUUUAUGGCUUAGCAAGGUGUGUGAAUUGAGCCUGUGUGUAGUUAAAUAGAAGGAGGGUGGUAUAAUCCCAGGAGUUUGGAAGCGUGCACCAUGGCAACUGUGGGUGUGCAUGCAUUUCUGCAUCAGAUGAUUGUAACUGUGGUGUCCUAGACCUGACCAUUGAACCAAAGAGUGCUUUCUUUUCUCUUUUUUUUGCUCAAGAUGUGCUCGUAUUUAAUUGACGUAGUGGGAAAGCAGCCUGUCCCUUGAAACUGGAGAUGGAAAAUGCAGCUGAUACUUUAUGUAGAAUUUGUAGGUCUCCAUUCGAUUUGCUUUUUUACAAAACUGGACAGCAUCUGGAACUCUUGAGUUCUAGCAAAUGGAUUCUUCCUCUGGCAGUAUUGAUAGGAAGAUAGCUUUUUGCCCUAAACCUUGAUGAAUGAAAGAAACCCAGCUGUACUUUGUUUAUGGUAGAAGAAAGUGGUGUCCUAAGGCUUGCACAGAUUUCCCAGCCAAAAUCUUUGGAACAGGGAAACAUAAGGAGGACCUACAAUGUUUGUUACAAGUUUUGCUCUCCACCCUCCAUUACAUACCACAUUCUGGACCAGCUCAAGCUGCACAGAUGCUGUCAAGGGCAGAUCCUUACCAAAAGGCAGUAAAGAUGAAGAGCAAGAAAGGAAUAGCAGAAAUUAUGCUCGUGUCUGCUGAUUGAGAAAAAUGUGGCUGAGUCAAAAGGAUGUAUCUCCUUUAUCUGUAGUAAAGAAGGGUAUCUCCAAAGCCUUAAGAUGGCAGUUGUGUUUCCAGUAUAGUCUACUUUUCCUCCAAGAGGUGUAUAUAUAGAAGUGCCCCCAUGAAACGGUUUUGUGGAAUAUAUUAGGCUGACAGAGACUGACCCGAAGUUACCAAAUUAACCACGUGCAUGCCUUGGAGAUGAGAAGGAGAAGUGGGGAACUUCCCACUCAACAUUUAGAGUCAUUGAGCUCCACCUCCCAUUAGCUAAUGUCUGCUUGGUUGCUGUGUUCAGAUGGUGGAAAUCAGAGUCCAUUAACCUCCGGAGAGCCAUGGGCUUUCCCCGUCAGCUUUAGCACUCUGGUGUAAUGGCAAACUUAGAUGGCUUGGAAUGGGGUUAGGCAAAUGCAUGCAGAAGACUGUCCGUGGAUACUAGUUACAACUAUACAUUAUGUCCAGGCUCAGAGGAGAAAAUAUGUUGAGUACCAGCUAAUGAGGAACAGGAGGCUGCAGUUUCAUACCAGCUCUGCUUCUGAGCUCUCUGAAGGCUGCGAUGGCUACCAUGGGAGGGUAGUUCCUGGACCUUUAGUCUAAUCUAGGAGAAAUUGACUUGAGUUCUUACAUUCUAUCCUGUUGAUUGUCCUCCCAUGAACUUCUCAUAAACCCUGCAGAGCUUGUCAUGUUAAGUUCAGCCAGGGAAGUGUCUUUCAUGUCAUCUUCUGUAAGGUUAAAAUACAUUAUUUAAAGUAAACUGAGGCAAACAGGAAUGUCAGGCAGUUCUGGUAGGUUUUCAUGGCUUCUCCAGUAAAAUCUUUGCUUUUUUUCUUAUGGGUGGUGAAGAUUGGGUAGUUGUAAUGGUAUCUCUGAUCAAAACUGGGCCAAGAACUGCAAUGUGGAAAUUCUUCUGCACUUGACCUUCUCCAGCCUAAUACUGUCUUUCCAUUGGCUGGCUUCACAUGCCAAUCCAUGGUUUAUUGACUAAGCCACAUCAUCUUGGGCAAAGCCACAAAAUGGCUAGCAUAUAGAGUGGCUCAGUUCACAUGGUCCACAAAGCCUAGAUCCAACCAACCCCAAGGUACUUGUGACUUUGGGGGGGGGAUUUCUUUUUAUUAUUAUUUAUUAAAAAGGUACUUGUGGCUUAAUGCAGAGUUGGAACCGAGGCCCUGAGACUCUGGCACAGCUGAUUCUACAAAGCCCCAUGGGAAAUCAAAUGCAACUCCAGCAACGUGGUUUGUUCUUGCAAGUUUUUAUUGGACUUUCCCAUCCACCUAUUUGAGUUAGACUACCACCAACAAAAGCUGUUGCUUUGUCUUGGAUAUAAUCAGAACAAGAGAGAAUUUUUUGCAUUCUUAAGUGCUUGGCAUCUUUCUAGCCCUUGCUGAUAGCUCAAGUCUAGCCCGUUUUUUAUCUUUCUUGAUAAGGUUUGUGGCAAUGUAGCUAGGAACCCCGUGAGUUACAGUAACUCUGUUACUGGAUGGCUGCCAGCAAAACACCCCCCCCUUUUUUUUUUUUGAUGUGAGGAUCAACCUAUCCCAACCUGUUGGCUGUACUGGCUAGGGAAGUUGGGAGUUGUAGUCUCAGACACCUGGAGGUCACUAAGAUGAGAAAGUUAUUGCUAAUAGCAGAAGAAAUGUCCUUGGCUAAUCUUUUAGGUCAGCAACAACAAAGGGAUAACUUUUUAAUUUUUUUUAUUUUUUUGCAUCUGGCCCAGCUGAAGGUUAUAGAAACUUCCCUCUGUGUAUAUUACAAGCUUGUUCUCUCGCCAACACUCCCCAGUGUAGGAUUUCUUGCUGCUCUGCAAAAUCCAACCCUAGCUAUUGUUGAGUGGGUGCGGGUGUAAACCUUGGCCAGGAAUGUGAAUAAUCAACUUCAAAGCAACUAUUUCUCACAGUACUACGGGUAAAGAAUACAUAGAAACCUUCAUUCAGUUCUCGGUUUUCAAACAGGCCAGGGGAGAGAAAGUAAGUCUAUUCAAAGCCACCUCUUCACUUGUGGGCAGUUGUUUCCACCUUCCGCCCCCACCCCCGGAUCUUUGCGAUCGUAUUCUGCGUUUGACUGGUGCCCACAGGCUGCAUCAAAGGUUUAAACUGGACAAAAGUGCAUUUUCUAGUCCAUGAAAGGUGAAAUAAGAUGCUGCUUCCCGGGUAGGGAAAAGGAUCUUCUUGGAAGCUGGCAAUAAGGUUUUUCUGAAGUCUGCUGGCAAUAAGAUUUUUUUUCCCACCUAUGCGAUUUGAGGAUGAGAACAUGUGUGAGUCAUGUCUGGCUACAGAGGUCUGGAAGCCCAACACUCUUCAAGGCUGGGACAUUCGCCUUGUGUGACUUUUGCAUGUGGUGGGUAUGUGGUGUAGUUAUGGGCUUUACUGCGAAAAAAAGUUAUUUCCAGGAACUUAACUUCUCCAGUGUAUUUGAAUUUUGCCAGCCACACUUAAGUGGCUGCUUUUCCCAGGAGCUGAUAAUUGGAAUCCUAUUGUAGAAGACUGGUAUCUUCAUUCCAAAAAGGGAAAACUCUUUUUUGGGUGGGGGAGAAUGACAAUUUGUGAUACUGGCUUCUAUGACAGAUUGUGGGUCUCCAGUUUUAUCCCUUACAUCAAGGUGGACACCUUUAUCCAGGUUGAGAGAGGGGAGUAACCCAGAUGAUCAGGAGCUUGGAACGAAACAGCUGGUGAGGAAUGGUUGGAGGUGCUGGAGAAGAAUUGCUUAGCUUGGAGAAGAAAAGAUUGCAGGGAGACACGAGAGCUGUUUUCAAGGAUGGGAAGGGCUACCACGUAAAAGAUGAGGCAGACAUCCCAGAAGACAAGUGGGAAACAAGGAGUUUAAAUUACAAGGAAGACGGCUUCUACCACUUCUUCAAUAAGCACGAUUCGGAUGCAGCUGACCAGAACAGCACCAUAAGCAAUGCUAUUAUGGCGGCAGCAGGAUUUGGCUUAGCGGGCUUGGCUUUCCUCUUGGUGGUGCGAUAAGAACACAUCGGUGGACUUAGACUGCAGGGAGAUGGGAUGGGUGGGCACGCUCCUUUCUAAAACUGCUAACGUCCCAGCGAAACGUCCAUUCUAUAUUUCUACAACGGUCGAAGAUAGAAACCUAUAUAUAAAUAUAUAUUUUUAACUAGAGUUGGGGCAAAACUUAGUUGAGCACAUCACCUUCUGGCACUACCAGUGGUCGGUGAAUGCCUCUUUGCGCUCAUCCUGAGACUGGGCACCUUCUGGAUCUUGGCGUGAGGGCUGUACCUGGUCACCAUUUGUCCUGGGAACUGUGGAGUGCUGGGUGUUACGCUACGUGUUCAUGGUGGGCUUGUGAUGGAACCAAGUGGAAGACGUGUUUGCCUUUCUUCUUUGUGUGUGUGGGGGGGGGGGGGGAUGGGGAGGGAUCAUUGCCUUGUGAAAUGUGAGCCAGUAUUAAUAAGAAUGAAGAGCUUACUCCUCUUGUGGUGCAAUGCAAAUCAUACUGAGGCCACUCAAUCACAUAAAGUUGCAAGUUCCAUGUUGCACAGAGCAUUAUAGCUUACAUGUUUUUGUUAUAAUGACAUAACUCUUAACUUACACUACAACUAGAUGUCAAGAAUGUUGAUACCAAAACAGUUAAGGCUGCAGAACCAGUUCUGAACUGAAGUUGUUUAACUAUUAAAAGAACCUUUUUAAAAUUGGUAUAUUUGGGAGUCCAUUGAAGGCUGGGAUUUCUGUGGAUUUCCUGUCAAAUCCAGAAACUCCAUAUAACUUAAUAUAUUUUUGAAGUAUUUAUCAUUGUAUAAUACUGGUAGCUGGUUAACAUCUAUUUUUGUUAAAUUCCAUUUUUUUUAAAAAAAGAAAAGCUCUCCAGUUGCUUUCUUGGCUGCAUCUGUCUUAUAACUUGUUUAACAGUUCUAGUUUUGGUAAUUGAUAUACUGUGUAAUGUACAAAAUAGUCCUGAGAAGUGUUUUGUGUCCUUUCCUUUAGCUUGUACAGUUUUAAUAUGUGAAUAAACAACUGAAUAUUUUUAUUUUAAA